ACUUGCGGUGUGCCUUAUGCAUGCAAGUCGAACGGUCUUGAUUUAUCAAGAUAGUGGCGAACGGGUGAGUAACGCGUAAGUAACCUGCCCUUAAGUAGGGGAUAACUCUGAGAAAUUAGAGCAAAUACCGUAUGUGGUGGUAGAGGUAAUGCUUUAUUACUAAAGCCUUAGGGCGCUUGGGGAGGGGCUUGCGUCCGAUUAGCUAGUUGGUAGGGUAACGGCUUACCAAGGCGAUGAUCGGUAGCUGGUUUGAGAGGACGGCCAGCCACACUGGGACUGAGACACGGCCCAGACUCCUACGGGAGGCAGCAGCAAGGAAUAUUGUGCAAUGGGCGAAAGCCUGACACAGCGACACCGCGUGGGGGAUGAAGGCCUUCGGGUUGUAAACCCCUUUUCUCAGGGAAGAAUAAUGACGGUACCUGAGGAAUAAGUCUCGGCUAACUACGUGCCAGCAGCCGCGGUAAGACGUAGGAGGCGAGUGUUAUCCGGAUUUACUGGGCGUAAAGAGGGCGUAGGCGGCUUUUCAAGUCGGAUGUAAAAUCUCCUGGCUUAACUAGGAGGGGUCAUUCGAUACUGUUAGGCUAGAGGGCAGCAGAGGGAGGUGGAAUUCCCGGUGUAGUGGUGAAAUGCGUAGAUAUCGGGAGGAACACCAGUGGCGAAGGCGGCCUCCUAGGCUGUUUCUGACGCUGAGGCCCGAAGGCGUGGGGAGCGAACAGGAUUAGAUACUCUGGUAGUCCACGCUGUAAACGAUGGAUACUAGGUAUGGGGGGGUAUUGACCCCCUCCGUGCCGAAGCUAACGCGUUAAGUAUCCCGCCUGGGACUACGGCCGCAAGGCUAAACUCAAAGGAAUUGA
rnacentral:rRNA from 1 species